AACGCUAGCUACAGGCUUAACACAUGCAAGUCGAGGGGAAACGACAUCGUAAGCUUGCUUUUGAUGGGCGUCGACCGGCGCACGGGUGAGUAACGCGUAUCCAACCUGCCCACCACUUGGGGAUAACCUUGCGAAAGUAAGACUAAUACCCAAUGAUAUCUCUAGAAGACAUCUGAAAGAGAUUAAAGAUUUAUCGGUGAUGGAUGGGGAUGCGUCUGAUUAGCUUGUUGGCGGGGUAACGGCCCACCAAGGCAACGAUCAGUAGGGGUUCUGAGAGGAAGGUCCCCCACAUUGGAACUGAGACACGGUCCAAACUCCUACGGGAGGCAGCAGUGAGGAAUAUUGGUCAAUGGACGAGAGUCUGAACCAGCCAAGUAGCGUGCAGGAAGACGGCCCUAUGGGUUGUAAACUGCUUUUAUAAGGGAAUAAAGUGAGUCUCGUGAGACUUUUUGCAUGUACCUUAUGAAUAAGGACCGGCUAAUUCCGUGCCAGCAGCCGCGGUAAUACGGAAGGUCCGGGCGUUAUCCGGAUUUAUUGGGUUUAAAGGGAGCGUAGGCCGGAGAUUAAGCGUGUUGUGAAAUGUAGAUGCUCAACAUCUGAACUGCAGCGCGAACUGGUUUCCUUGAGUACGCACAAAGUGGGCGGAAUUCGUGGUGUAGCGGUGAAAUGCUUAGAUAUCACGAAGAACUCCGAUUG
rnacentral:rRNA from 1 species